UUGAAAGGGAAACGAUUGAAGUCAGUCGUACCAGCGGGAAAUCAACCUUUCGAGGUGGNNUUUUGGAGUUUUGAAGAGUGUUAAAACCUUUGGGAUUUCAAAAUGUUCGCUCUUUUGGUGUACUUUCUCGUAGGUAGGUUAACAUCGAUUUUGAUCAUCAUAAAAGGAUUGGAGGAAUGUAGCUUCGAUCUCGUAUUGAAGUGUUAUAGCCUUUGGUAAAUGUGAUGAUUAGGAUCGAGGAUUGCAACGAAUACCCUUUUGGGCUAUCCGCCUGAUCUCUGAUACGUGACCUUGGUAUUGAAAGCGUGCUUAUGAUAUUGAGGUAUUACGGUCAAAAGGUUAGAACGGAUUACAUUCGUUAAGGAUGUUGACGUA
rnacentral:rRNA from 1 species